rfam:Trichobilharzia regenti genome assembly, scaffold: TRE_scaffold0049411
GUACUGCUAAAGAGUCCCAGACUAGGACGAAACGGCUGUGCAGUAC